AUGGGACCUAUGAUGCCCAGGCUCUCCACAACGGUAGCAAGUAACAUCAGAGUACUCAGUCCCAGCAGUUUCUUGAGUUCUAGGAACAUGUCUCCCUUUUUCAGCAUUCUUCUGUUUCCUUUGCUGUUGGUUCCCAACCCUAUUUCCCUCUCCCUGCUCUUGACUCUGCUUUUGUGUCUUCUACACCAGCUUCCCACCUAUGAGCUAGAAGGAGCUUGCCCUGGAACCCAAGAGAUUGAGGGUUCUGCUGCACAGGGGCAGGCCCUUGCAUCACUCCAAAAGGCUGACCAGACCCCUAAUUUCCUGGGUUCCUCCACUGAUUCAUUGGGGGAGGAAAGAAUGGACCCUAGCACCAGGGGGAGGCGGCAUACCUUGGAAACCAUGGCCAUAGGGGGGAAAGUUUUGCUGGGGAGGCCCAAACUGCUGAUCGAAGGUAGGAGUCCACUGUCCCUGGUUGAUUUCCAUCGGGUCGAACUGCUGAUCGAAGGUAGCAGUCAGCGGCGGCGAAACUGCGGUCGAGGAAGAGGUCUCUCCUGA
rnacentral:rRNA from 1 species